UUUAAGUGUAAGUAUAAGUUUUUGCGUCCAACUUUAAUCCUUCGUCUUAUUUAUUUUUUAUAAUUAGCAUUUUUAUUAUUAUGAGAUGAUAAAAUAUGAAUAGUAACUUGUGUUUUUAUUUUUUUUAAUAAGACGGACGGUGAAAGUUAUGCACGAAAAAUCAUGGUUGUACUUAAA
rfam:Oryza barthii chromosome 7, whole genome shotgun sequence.